CCAUGCUCUACUGACUAUGUGAAUUUUAAGAGAGUGUGGAAAUUAAAAAAUAAAUAAGCUGGUUCUGAGAUUUAAGAAAACAUCAUCUGCAUGAAUCACCAUUUUUUCCUCCUUGGACAUUCAUGGGCUUUUGUGAGUGCUGGUGAAGGCAACCUCGGCAGUGGAAUUGACAUGCAGAGAGUCAAUCUGUCCAGUGUUGCUGAUCUAGUUAGCAAUGGAGCAAGAAUGUGAACAUGAGUGGCCUGGCACUACCACCUCUCCUGAUUUAACAUAUGACUAUUUGGAUAAAGUACAAUAAAGCAAUGGACUUAUUCUCUAGUUUGUACCUAGAAUUAGCUCCUGUGUGGCCCAGAAGCCAGCUCCUGUGGGUUCUCCAACCUGGCAGCAUAACUCCGUUUCCUCUGCAUAUAUGCGGAGUGUGAGGGUCUGUUUCCCUCGGCUACUUAGAGCAGCCUCUGUGGCACAGAGAAGAGAGAGGUGGGAGAAGAGAAGGUUAUGGGAGAAAGGCCAUGUUUUGCCUGUCAAGCUUUCUGAGAAUUGUAGCUCACCAGGACAGGGUCUAAGCAAGGACUACUGAUGGGAAUCCGAGGGCCAGCCUGAGCGUACUUAGCCCCAUCCUCUGAAGCAGGAAAACAGAGCUUGCUCCCGUCCCAACCUCGCACUUCCUCACCAAGUGCCGUGACUUACAGCAAACACCCAUCUGGAAACCCCGCCUGUCCUCUUAGGAUAAAACAAGGGAUUCAGUCUCUAAAGCCCGAGAAUAAAACCUUUUCCAUGUCUAACUCAAAAUAGAUUUUCUUUCUCCUUUUCAUAGUGAUAACCAAAUGAAAAAUACGUUCAGCUCAGAUCCAGCACCGUGUGUUUUAUGA